rnacentral:rRNA from 1 species
AACGUAGGAGACGAGCGUUAUCCGGAUUUACUGGGCGUAAAGCGCGUGUAGGAGGCAGUACAAGUUGGAUGUUAAAUAUCCCGGCUUAACCGGGAGGGGUCGUUCAAAACUGUACAGCUAGAGUACGGGAGAGGUAAUCGGAACUCCGGGAGUAGCGGUGAAAUGCGUAGAUAUCCGGAAGAACACCAGAGGCGAAAGCGGAUUACUGGCCCGAAACUGACACUAAGACGCGAAAGCCAGGGUAGCAAAC